CACCAUUUUCCGUUAGGACACCCUGACCGACAGGCCUAAUCAAGCUGGUCAUGGCAUGCCUAUCUCAAAAGAAGGCAAGGAACUUUAGGCGGUGGCAAUGUCGGAGUCACAGAAAAGUCACAAAACAGCGAGAUUCAAGGCUACAGCUCAACUUGCGGUUGGAAAGUCUGUCAACGAGGUGGACAGCAGCAGGCAGCAAAGACCUGGUUGGAU